rnacentral:lncRNA from 1 species
AUUAAAGUUUGUUGUCUCGCUUCUCUGACCCUCUCAGCUCCAAGAUUACGCGCUUUUAUUGCGUCCCAUACACUUUUAGCUGUGUCCAAGUCGCCAACUUGGAGGAUUAGUGCCUCUGGUAUAGAUUGGAACAAAAACGCUAUUGCCAUAUUAUUUUUCUUCUCAUCUUUGAUUCCAGGUUCAAUUGCCUCCCAAACUUCGCUGACUUUCAGUGCUAUCUUCAUCCUCAUACACCAGACAGUAUAGUUUGAUGUAGUUAGCAUUGGGAAUUUGAUGGAGGUUCGGCCAGACUCUUUGCUCGCUGCAGUUUCUUCCUUUACUUCCACCAUUGUUUGUUUCAAGCUUUGAAUUGAUUCUUGCUGGCUCUGAUACCAAAUAUAGAAUCACAAAGCAAUAUAGAAACUCAAAGCAAUAAUAAGAAGUCCUUCUCUUAUUCAAUCAAUCAAGCAAC